CCGGGGUGGUGGGCGCCGCGGUCGGCGUCGCCGCCGCCGGGCUCGCCGCGGGGGUGGUGAGCGAGCGGGUCCUGGUCCGCCGCCUCAAG
rnacentral:tRNA from 1 species